GCCGGUGGCACGUAAAAAGCACCCACUACACUCACGGAGUGGUUGGCAUAAGGAAGGGCAUCCAGCCAGAGAAACCACGCCAAAUCAGAUUGGAUACCUGGUGCAACUCCCUGGCUUACCAGUUUUCAUUCAGUCAAA